CCUACGGGUGGCAGCAGUGAGGAAUAUUGGUCAAUGGACGAGAGUCUGAACCAGCCAAGUAGCGUGAAGGAUGACUGCCCUAUGGGUUGUAAACUUCUUUUAUAUGGGAAUAAAAUGUUCCACGUGUGGGAUUUUGUAUGUACCAUAUGAAUAAGGACCGGCUAACUCCGUGCCAGCAGCCGCGGUAAUACGGAGGAUCCGAGCGUUAUCCGGAUUUAUUGGGUUUAGAGGGAGCGUAGGUGGAUUGUUAAGUCAGUUGUGAAAGUUUGCGGCUCAACCGUAAAAUUGCAGUUGAAACUGGCAGUCUUGAGUACAGUAGAGGUGGGCGGAAUUCGUGGUGUAGCGGUGAAAUGCUUAGAUAUCACGAAGAACUCCGAUUGCGAAGGCAGUUCACUGGACUGCAACUGACACUGAGGCUCGAAAGUGUGGGUAUCAAACAGGAUUAGAUACCCGAGUAGUC
rnacentral:rRNA from 1 species